rnacentral:lncRNA from 1 species
UAAAUACCUAAUAAAAAAUUUAAAAAAAAAAAGAAAAGAAAAGUGACUUUAGAUCCAUAUCUGGCUUUUCUGCUGUGAUGGUUUUUACAGGAUUUGCUAUGGUGGCAGUGUUGGGUUCUGAUGAUGCAAAGUAACCUUGGUUUCUCUUACUUCUAUUAUUAUGCUUGCCUCCUGCCAUCUGAUUAUCUCAGGUGCUCCAUGACUUGGAUAUAUAUGAUUGCUGCCUGUCCUUCCUGUAAUCCCAAUUAAGUCAGAACUUCUCAGAAUCCAGGUUUCUUUGUGAUUUUGUGAUUCCGGUAUCUGGUGAUGCUGACAUUCUGGGUGUGUCAGAGUUCUUGGCAGUCCAGAUUCCUCUGAUACCCUGAGAUCCUGGUGUAUCCAAUCUCCUUGGAUCUUAAAAUCCUGGGCAUGUUAGAGUGCCUGGAAGUGGUACAUCCUCUGAGGACCAGACCUGGGGGCUGUCUUCUGAGUUUGAAACCAAGGGAGACCAGCACACACAGGAAGGAACCCUAGCAACUGGUCAGGCAGGGUUCCUGUGUUUGUGCUCCAGCUGUCCUCAGGCACCCUUGGUUCUAUUGGAACAGGUGUUGUGUUCCACUCUCCAGUGAUCCUAAGAUCCUUGGCAUGCUAGGGCCCCUGGGAAAGUGGAGAAUCCUCUGGAGACUAUGGGACAGUCUGCUGAAAUUGGGCCCAAGUUGGCCUGGUUCUGGUGUCAACCAGAAGGCAUAAAAUAAUUCCUAAUAAAACAACUAAGAAUCACACCUAUUUAGAAGAUAAAUACAAUAAAAUUUUAACAAAAAUCAUUUUAAUAUUGUACAUAUGUUUUCUAUUUGAUUUGAUUUGAUUCAAUUCCUUCACCUGUUUUAAUGUGUUUUCCUGACUUUAGAGUAUUUAUUUGUUUCUUCUUUAAUAGUUUCUACCUAUUUACCUGUACCUCUUUCAGUGACUUAUUUUUACCCUCCUGAAAGGACUCUAUUUUCUUCAUGAGAUAGGAUUUUAGGUCUGCAUCAUGGUUUUGAGCUGUGUUGGGAUAUUCAAACCUUGCUGUGAUGGGAGAACUAGGUUCUAAUGGUACCAAGUUAUAUUGGCUUCUAUUGCUUACGGUCUUGUGCUCACCUCUCGCCAUCUAGUAAUCUCUGGUGUUAACUGGCCUGGGCAUGAAUGCCUGGAGCUUGCCUCCUGUGUCCCUGCUUGCUUCAGGUCUCCUGGGAGACCUGUGGCCCUUGCUACAGCAGAUUUCCUUUGAGGCCUUCAGACUAUGUGUCUGUUGGCUGGCUGUAGCAGAUCUCCUGGGAGGCCUUCAGACUGUGUGGUCUACAGAGGAAGAGACAAGCUGAUGAUCUGCCCUUGUGGAAGGAGCAGAUAGGAAGUGAGGUAGAAUUGAGAGGAUGGGAUAUGUCUGCAUUUGUAUGUGCAUAAUGGGAGAUAGCAGAAGGUUUCAUAUUCUUCAGGUCUGGAGUAACAAGGUUUAGAUGAAGCCAAGAAUGUUAUGUGGGUGCUGGAAUUCAAAUUCUAAGCAUCGUGGUUCCUAAAUAGACACUAAGGAUUUUCUGCUUACCUAACUUCUAGGCCCUGGGACAAUUGAUACUCUUUUUGCUUAAGGUCCCACUGACCAUUGUGUUUGGCACAGAGCAGCAAAAAGAAAGUGGACAGAUGGACUCUGUCAAAGCUUGAUGUUGAACAUAGAGAGUCUCUCCUUUCAAACAGCUAAAUUACAUGAGGCUUUCUGUCUUACUUAGGGUUUCCAUUCCUCCGAAGAGACAUCGUGACAAAGGGAAGUCUUAUAAAUAGGAAACAAUUAAUCCUGGCCAGCUUACACUUUCAGAGGUUCAGUCCAUUAUCAUUAUGGUGGGGAGCAUGGCAGCAUCCAGGCAGUCAUGGUGCUAUAAUAAGAUCUGAGAGAUCCACAUUUUGAUGCAAAGGCAGCAGCAGGAUAGUCUCUUUUUCAGGCAGCUAGGAAGAGGGUCUCUUCUGCACUUUAGUGUAGAUUGAGCACAGGCUCUCAAUGCCAGCCUCCACAGUGACACAUUUUUGCCAACAAGGCCACACCUAUUCUAACAACUACAUGACUCCGAAUAGUGUCACUCAGUGUGGACUAAGCAUUCAAACACAUAAGUAUAUGGGGGCUCAAACCUAUUCAAACCAUUAUAGUGUCUUUGCAUUUAAAGGAACCUAUGAUGAAGCAAGGCUCUGAAUAACCAAAGACCACCCAAGCCCUCCCUCAUAUGUACAGGCUGAUAUAGCUCUUAUAUUGUCCUCAAUCCUCAGUGAGGCACUGUGUGCUUUCAAACAAGACAACAAACUCUUCCACGCUAUCCUAUGGAAUAUGGGGAUUAAAAAAUGUUACCCCUCCUCCAAAAGAAGUAUUAAUGUGUCAAACUCAUUCUUACCUGUCAUGAACUUGGUAAGUGAGAGAAAAAGAUAAAUUAAAAGAAAAGGGCAUGACUGUUGUUAGAUAUGGUGGAGGGAAAGUUUUAUUGUAGAUAUGAGGGAGAGAAUAGCCAGAGGCAGACACAUCUGGGAGAGUGCAGUGUGAAUAUAACCCUGAGCAGCAGGGUCCCUCCAUAGGGGUAGGAGGUCAUUCUUCCUCUCUGUAGGCUGAGAAGGCACAAGUAGGCUGCUCUAACUGCUUUGCUUAUCUUCCUUUUUUUCCACAGCGAUGGCCAUGAAGGACUGCCAUACCACCAAUAGCUAGGUCUCCUAGAAAUAGUCACUCCUGAAUCCACCAGUCAGAACUACAGAGCACAGGAGUCCAUACCAGUGGAAGAAGUCCUUUUCUCCAGGUCCUCUUCUCGCUCCAAUUCUAUCAAGCCCUGUUACAGGAUAUUUGAUUACUGUACCAAGAAAACCUACUUGUUCACAAAAUAUAGAAGGCUUAAAUAGAUGUCAGGUGCAGUAAGGUGUGUCCUGAAGAGAUGAAGUUUAAGUGUGCCUCUAAAUGCCUCCAUAGAUAAAAAUGCUAAAGAACAGAAAUUGUUUUUGGAGGUGUCUUAUGUUCUUUGCUUAUGACUCAAGCCAAAGUCAGCUGGAUGGGCUUGAAGGUGAAAGGGUUUGGCUCUACUGAGUUGGCUUGUAGCCCCCACUAGGAAGGUAACAUGGUUCAGCCUGCCAAAGGGUGGAGGGCAGGAGCUAGAGACUUUGCUAGCAAUUGGACUUUGGGAGCUCUCUUGCUCUCUCUUUUGGCCUGGAAUCCAAGUAAAAAAUAGGGGUUCUCUCUCUGGGCUUUUCAGAAACCAAAGAGAAGCAGCUGGCAGGACACAGGUAAGACAGUAUUCUAGGAAAGAGAGAUAAGGUGUCCUCUUGGGUUUGGAGUAGCUCAAGAGAACAGUAGACUAGCUGGGUAGAAUGAUAUAGAUAGAAUGAGAUUUUUAUAAAUUAUAAAAUCAGGCUUUAAAAUGGAUAUUUUGUAUAUAGUUAAGAAAAUAAAGUUACCUUACUGAGCUUGCAGGUGUUUAACUUCAGCUCCUGACUCCUGUGUCUUUACGAGUAUAAAUAUUAAACAAAUUCAAAAGGAUAAAUAGUCAAAGCCCAACUAAAGCAAACAAACACAAUUUGUAUUUUACCAUUUUAUUUUAUUUUAUAUAUACGAGUGUCAGCUUGCAUAUACACAUAAGCAUCAAAUACAUGAAGUAUUUAUGGAGGACAGAAAAAGGCAUCAGAUGCCAUGGAAUAAGAGUGACAAAUGGUGUGUGCCACAAGGGGAAACUGAACCUGUGUCCUCUGGAAGAGCAGCAAGUGCAACUGGAUUUGGGUGUGGUGGUGAACACCUUUAAUUCCUGCAUUCUUAAGGCAGAGGC